ACAGGUCACUAAUUACAAUGGGCAUUCUGACUGCGACUGGCUCGGCCUGUGCCGGUUACAUUAUGAGCAUGGCAGUGCUGAGUCCGUGCCCGCCUCUCCUACAAACCAACAUUGGGGGCACAUUAAUGGUAAGUACUGUGAAAGCUGUAAGAGACGGGUCUCCCUGCCCAGUGCUGCCCAACUCUGGCAUGGAGAGCACCUUCCUAGCCUCUAGUUAUUGUAGACAGUCUAAUAUCUGACAUUGGAAUAAAUACUUGGAAAAUAAAUGAUUUUGGGUUGUUGAUAUUAUUCAUGCCAUAUCUUUUUUAUCUUGCAUUCACAAUAAAAAUAGUUUUGGAACAAAAAUAAAAAGAAAUGAAUUUGGUUACACUACACACUCAGACAAAGCUCUGCACCAUUGAAGUUGAUGCUUUUUCGUAUUCAAAGUGUUUGCAGCUUGCCACCCUCCUCUGCUUCGACACAGAGAGAGUUCACUUAGCGAGAGCGCUGCCGUGCUGCAUGUUGGGGAAAAACGAAUGAAACCAUGGCAGGAUGAACGUGUGUAGUAAGAUCCAUCACCGUGCACACUGCGGACGUGGUGAACAGGUGCAGCAGGUGUGGCGUAGAGGGCGAGGUUUGAGUUAGUUACACUCUCUAAUCAGAUCUCCACGUGUGUCUAGACCGGAGACAAAUAUUAUGCUUAUUGUCUCUUUCCUAAUAACAGAAAAAUACAACAAAAGAAACUCAAUGUAAGAAGUCUAGCCGAGGCACCAUAAAACUGCCGUCCUGGUGGUUAUGAUGUCAUUAGGUUGCUUCAUGCAGUCUGACUAAAUUUUGUGUGUCCUUGAGGCAUCCACAACGCAGCCCCGGCUUGUCACCAUUGCUCAUAAUAUUUUAAAGCUUUUCAUUGGCUGAGUGUGUCAGCUGACCUGCACAGUGUUUGAAGAAGAUGGCGAAUUCAGAAUAAUGGCACCAUAACCACCACAGCAGUAUGCGGUUUAUAUAGCGCCAAUGUAGUAUUAAUAUUGUAAAUAAGCUGGCACUACAUAAAUGAUAAUAAUAUGCAUCCUAUAUUCCUACCUAAAAUCUGUCUUCUCUUACUGCAUUAGGCAGUCAUCUUGUGUGCGUGUGUAAAUAUAUUCACUGAUCAGCCACAACAUUAAAGGACCACUCUAGGCACCCAGACCACUUCAGCUUAAUGAAGUGGUCUGGGUGCCAGGUCCUUCUAGGGUUAACCCAUUUUUUUUAUAAACAUAGCAGUUUCAGAGAAACUGCUAUGUUUAUGAAUGGGUUAAGCCUUUCCUAUUUCCUCUAGUGGCUGUCUCAUUGACAGCCACUAGCGCUUGCGUGCUUCUCACUGUGAUUUUCACGGUGAGCACGCAUAGCAAAAGCGUAAAUGCUUUAGUUGAUCCGGAGCGAUAGCGGCGUCGCAUUCAGCAGGAGAGGAAGGAAGCGUUUUAACCCUUUCCCCUUUCCAGAGCCGGGCGGGAAGGGGUCCCUGAGGGUGGGGGCACCCUCAGGGCACUAUAGUGCCAGGAAAACGAGUAUGUUUUCCUGGCACUAUAGUGGUCCUUUAAACCAUUGACUCCUGUCACGGGGUGGGAUAUAUUAGGGAGUAAGUUAAGUCAGUUCUGGAAUUUCAUGAGUUGGCAGGAGGAAAAAUGGGCAAGGGAAAAGAUCUGAGUGACUUUGACAAGAGCCGAAUAAUGAUGGCUAUUGUCAGACCAUCUCCAGUGCGGCAAGUCUUGUGGGGUAUGGCUGAUCCGUGUAUAUAAUAUUCUAUUUAUGUAACAGGUGUACUCAGUACACUCAGUUCCUCAAUUUACAUUAUGUUGGAUAAAGUGGAAAUAAAGUGCUGAAUAUAGUAUUUUAAAAAGCCAAGUAUAUCAUCGAUUUGUGAUAUUUUUGAAGUGAUAUUUCUGAAACGAUAUUGAUCAGUUCUUGAUUAAGCCUCUAAUGGAAGUAAUGUAAUCAAUUCAAACUGACAAAAGGCUUAUUGGGAGCCAAUAAACAUGAUCAGCCCCCUUUCUUACAUUUUAGUUUUUCCCGCCCCCUUUCUUACGUUCUAGUUUCCUGCCCCCUUUCUUCCGUGCUAGGUUCCCGCCCCCUUUCUUACGUUCUUCAUUCCCGCCCCCUUUCUUUUGUGCUAGUUCCUCGCCCCCUUUCUUUCGUUCUAGUUCCCCGCCCUCUUUCUUACGUUCUUCAUUCCCACCCCCUUUCUUACAGUCUAGUUCCCGCCCCUUUCUUUCGUUCUAGUUCCACACCCCCUUUCUUUUGUUCUAGUUCCCCGCCCCCUUUCUUUUGUUCUAGUUCCCGCCCUGUUUCUUACGUUCUUCAUUCCCGCCCCCUUUCUUACAGUCUAGUUCCCGCCCCUUUCUUUCGUUCUAGUUCCCGCCCCCUUUCUUACAUUCUAGCUUCCGCCCCUUUCUUACAUUCUAGUUUCCUGCCCCUCUUUCUUCGCUAGUUUUCCGCCCCCUUUCUUACAUUCUAGUUCCCCGCCCCCUUUUUUUAUGUUCAUUCCGCCCCCUUUUUUUACGUUCUUCAUUCCCGCUCCUUUCUUAUAUUCUAGUUUCCACCCCUUUCUUACAUUCUAGUUUCCCGCCCCUUUCUUACGUUCUUCAUUUCCGCCCCUUUCUUUCGUUCUAGUUCCCCGCCCCCUUUCUUUCGUUCUAGUUCUCCGCCCCCUUUCUUACAUUCUUGUUUCCUGCCCCCUUUCUUACAUUCUACUUUCCCGCUCCCUUUUUUACGUUUUUGUUUCCCGAACACUUUCUUAUGUUCUAGUUUCCCGCCCCCUUUCUUACGUUCUAGUUUCCCGCCCCUUUUCUUACGUUCUAGUGUUCCGCCCCCUUUCUUAUGUUCUAGUUUCCCGAACCCUUUCAUACAUUCUAGUUAGAUGUACAGUAUCUGCCGCAGACCUGCUUCAAUAUUAAGUGAUGACAGAAGUUGAUUUUUUUUUUGAUUUCCUAAAUCUGGAAAGUUGGGAGAGAGAUAUCCACCGAUUGUAGGAGAUGUACGAGAAUUGAGUCAUUUAUUACACGUGAGUUUACAGAGGAAGAGGUUCUAUUUCAACUGUCAAAAGUAAAGACAAAUAAGUCAAUGGGACCUGAUGGAAUACACCCAAAGCUAUUAAAAGAGCUUAGUGGUGUACUAGCAAAACCAUUAACAGAUUUAUUUAACCAAUCAUUGUUAACAGGAGUAGUCCCAGAAGAUUGGAAGUUAGCGAAUGUUGUGCCCAUUUACAAGAAAGGUAAUAGGGAGGAGUCGGGCAACUAUAGGCCAGUAAGCCUUACUUCAGUAGUGGGGAAAGUGAUGGAAACCAUGUUAAAGGAUAGGAUUGAUGAACAUCUAAAAACACAUGGAUUUCAAGAUCAGAGACAACAUGGGUUUACUUCAGGGAGAUCAUGCCAAACUAAUCUUAUUGAUUUUUUUGAUUGGGUAACUAAAAUUAUAGAUCAGGGUGGUGCAGUAGACAUUGCUUACCUAGAUUUCAGUAAGGCUUUUGACACUGUUGCACAUAGAAGGCUUAUCAAUAAACUGCAAUCUUUAAGUUUGGAUUCCAAUAUUGUUGAAUGGGUAAGGCAGUGGCUGAGUGACAGGCAACAGAGGGUUGUAGUUAAUGGAAUAUAUUCGAAGCUUGGACUUGUCACCAGUGGGGUACCUCAGGGAUCUGUACUUGGACCCAUUCUCUUUAAUAUUUUUAUUAGUGAUAUUGCAGAAGGUCUUGAUGGUAAGGUAUGUCUUUUUGCUGAUGAUACUAAGAUAUGUAACAGGGUUGAUGUUCCAGGAGGGAUAAGCUAAAUGGCAAAUGAUUUAGGUAAACUAGAAAAAUGGUCAGAAUUGUGGCAACUGACAUUUAAUGUGGAUAAGUGCAAGAUAAUGCAUCUUGGACGUAAAAACCCAAGGGCAGAGUACAGAAUAUUUGAUAGAGUCCUAACCUCAACAUAUGAGGAAAGGGAUUUAGGGGUGAUUAUUUCUGAUGACUUAAAGGUAGGCAGACAAUGUAAUAGAGCAGCAGGAAAUGCUAGCGGAAUGCUUGGUUGUAUAGGGAGAGGUAUUAGCAGUAGAAAGAGGGAAGUGCUCAUGCCAUUGUACAGAACACUGGUGAGACCUCACUUGGAGUAUUGUACACAGUACUGGAGACCGUAUCUUCAGAAGGAUAUUGAUACCUUAGAGAGGGUUCAGAGAAGGGCUACUAAACUGGUUCAUGGAUUGCGGGAUAAAACUUACCAGGAAAGGUUAAAGGAUCUUAACAUGUAUAGCUUGGAGGAAAGACGAGACAGGGGGGAUAUGAUAGAAACAUUUAAAUAUAUAAAGGGAAUCAACACAGUAAAGGAGGAGACUAUAUUUAAAAGAAGAAAAACUACCACAACAAGAGGACAUAGUCUUAAAUUAGAGGGACAAAGGUUUAAAAAUAAUAUCAGGAAGUAUUACUUUUACUGAGAGGGUAGUGGAUGCAUGGAAUAGCCUUCCAGCUGAAGUGGUAGAGGUUAACACAGUAAAGGAGUUUAAGCAUGCGUGGGAUAGGCAUAAGGCUAUCCUAACUAUAAGAUAAGGCCAGGGACUAAUGAAAGUAUUUAGAAAAUUGGGCAGACUAGAUGGGCCGAAUGGUUCUUAUCUGCCGUCACAUUCUAUGUUUCUAAUUGUUUCCUCAUUUUUACUUGUGUUUCUUUUUGCAGGUUCUUGGCUGGGUGCUGUUUGUUGGGAUUCUAUCCUAUGUUAAAGUCAUCAUCGGGAUAAUUCUUCGGGAUGAAGGACACAGUGCCCUUGUGUGGUGUGGGGCUGUAGUGCAGCUUGGCUCCAUGUUAGGUGCCCUCACUAUGUUUCCCCUUGUUAAUGUCUAUAAUGUUUUUCACUCAGGAAACCCAUGCCACCACAACUGCCCCUCGUAAACCACAACUACAGCCAGAAAGCACAGCAGAUAAAACACUGUAUCCAGAGGGACUGUAUUGAGAACCUGGAGGAGUUAUAUGGAGUAAUAGGAGGAGUAAUAGGAGUUAUAGGGAGGUUAUAUGGCGUACUAGGAGGAGUUAUAUGGAGUAAAAUCAGGAGUUAUAGGGAGGGUUAUAUGGAGUAAUAGGAGGAGUUUUAGGGAGUAAAAGGAGGAGUUAUAGGGAGGGUUAUAUGGCGUAAUAGUAGGAGUUACAUGGAGUAAUAGGAGGAGUUAUAGGGAGUAAUCGGAGGAGUUAUAUGGAAGGUUAUAUGGCAUAAUAGUAGGAGUUAUAUGGAGUAAUAGGAGGGUAUAGGGAUAGUUCUAUGGAGUAAUAGGAGGAGUUAUAGGGAGUAAAAGGAGGAGUUAUAGGGAG